CUUUGAAGGAAUGUUUCGCUGCAGUUUAUCUGCAGACGCAGUUUGCCUGCGCUCGGAGCAUGGAGAUCGCUUUCAAAGCAGAUGUAUUAUGUAAUUUCCCUUGGAUCUUGGGAGGCUUUACCGGUUGGGAUUGGGUUUGGGGCUUUUUUGGUGGGUUUUUUUUUUUCUUUUUCGGAAUAACGCUGAGCUGAAUCCACACGUUUGCAUUUAUUCUGCCAAAUCCAUUAGAAGGAACUGCAAGAGCUUAUAGCAACAGGUAUACCCGCUCUAGGAGAGCGCCUGUGUGUGGACGUGGUCUUGAGGCGCCUGUGACACUACCUUUGUGUUUGGUACUAAAAUUAAGCAGAGGACAGAGUUGUCAGUGCUAUUGUGAAGUCUUGAGGGCGAUGGCAUUAGGAGAUGCGGAAAGUUAGGUAGCCCAGUGCUAGCCUGCCUCCCAGGGCAGGGGGAACCCAGUGAUCAUUCCAGGUCGGUGCAAAAUAUACGAGAGGAUAUUUUUAGGAAGCGUAUCUAAAUAUACAGUGUAAGAGUGAAUGGAAAAAAAAAAAAAAAAAAAAAAUAUGUUGUGGGUUGUAGAAGUUAUCAAGUGGGAUUUGCGGCGCGCUCUCUGCAGGAAACGAAAGCUGCUCCAGUUCAAAGCCACAUGCACCAACGUGACAUAUAAGCCAUUAAAAUAUCAUCCUGACGGCUCAUUUCUGCUUCAUCAUACAUUCCCUAACUGCUUCCAGAAAGCAAGAAAAGAAGAAAUGAAGGAUGACCGCCUCGAUGGAAGAGCCAAAGAGGUGGAACAAAGUCAGGAAAUGAGGCACAAGACUCCCCUUGUAAUGAGGAAAAGAAAACGACUUUACAGAAACAUCCUGGAAAAGUCAAGUAAGUUAAAAUAUGUCCUUUUUCUUUCAGUUCAAAGGAGACAAUAUUUUUUUCAGCUUAGUGUUUAACGUACUUGCAUAAACACAAAUCAGCGACACAACUCCCCACCAGCAGCUGCCUAAUCCUGCUCAAUGCCUAUUCAUUUGGAGGUUCUAGAAUUAAUAUUUGACGACUCUCUCAUUGAAACAACAACCCCUGACCCCAUGUGAUUGCACUGUCACAUUAUUCUAUGACAUAUUCAUCUUGAAUUCAUUUACGGACGAUUUGAUUGGAAUGAGGUUUGACAUGUAUUGGAUCCUAUUAAAGAAGAAGACUUUGAUCUUGUUGAUGGGGUUUACAUGAUAUGUAUCAUCUUUACCAGGGAUACCAGGCUUCCACAAUGUGGUGUCUAAGUAGUUAGUGACUGACAGCUUAUCUGACAGGAAUACCUUAAUCUUGAGGUACUGAAUGAAAUAUUCUAUUUAAAAUAAGCAUAUGAUUUGCUUGUCCUAGGGUAGCUCUAGGUCACAAAAAGUGAGAGGCAAACCUAGGCACGAGUCCUUGCUCGGCUGGUAGCUGAGUUCCCAUUAUCCGGGAACCCUGAAAUAAAGAAUUCCCCGUAAGUGGGAAUGGGGCGAGU
rnacentral:lncRNA from 1 species